UACAGAGAUCUCAAGCGUUGUUCGGAUUCAUUGGGCGUAAAGGGUGCGUAGGUGGCGCGGUAAAGUCGGGGUGUCGAAAUCUCGGAAGCUUAACUCCGAAAUUGCAUUCGGAUACUGUCGUGCUCGAGGACUGGAGAGGAGACUGGAAAUUCAUGGUGUAGCAGUGAAAUGCGUAGAGAUCAUGAGGAAGACCAGUGGCGAAGGCGGGUCUCUGGACAGUUCCUGACACUGGAGGCACGAAGGCCAGGGGAGCAAACGGG
rnacentral:rRNA from 1 species